rnacentral:rRNA from 1 species
UAGUCCACGCCGUAAACGAUGGAUACUAGGUGUAGGAGGUAUCGACCCCUCCUGUGCCGCCGUUAACACAUUAAGUAUCCCACCUGGGGAGUACGGUCGCAAGACUGAAACUCAAAGGAAUUGACGGGGGCCCGCACAAGCAGUGGAGUAUGUGGUUUAAUUCGAGGCAACGCGAAGAACCUUACCAGGGCUUGACAUCGCCUGACAGCGCUAGAGAUAGCGUGUCUCUUCGGAGCAGGUAGACAGGUGGUGCAUGGUUGUCGUCAGCUCGUGUCGUGAGAUGUUGGGUUAAGUCCCGCAACGAGCGCAACCCUUGCCUUUAGUUGCCAUCAUUAAGUUGGGCACUUUAAAGAGACUGCCGGUGACAAACCGGAGGAAGGUAAGGAUGACGUCAAGUCAGCAUGCCCCUUAUGCUCUGGGCUACACACGUGCUACAAUGGCCGUGACAAAGAGUUGCUACUUUGUGAAAACAAGCUAAUCUCAUAAACGCGGCCUCAGUUCGGAUUG